UUGACCGCCUGGGGAGUACGGCCGCAAGGUUAAAACUCAAAGGAAUUGACGGGGACCCGCACAAGCGGUGGAUUAUGUGGAUUAAUUCGAUGCAACGCGAAAAACCUUACCUACCCUUGACAUGUACGGAAUUCCGCAGAGAUGUGGAAGUGCCCGAAAGGGAACCGUAACACAGGUGCUGCAUGGCUGUCGUCAGCUCGUGUCGUGAGAUGUUGGGUUAAGUCCCGCAACGAGCGCAACCCUUGCCAUUAGUUGCUACAUUCAGUUGGGCACUCUAGUGGGACCGCCGGUGACAAACCGGAGGAAGGUGGGGAUGACGUCAAGUCCUCAUGGCCCUUAUGGGUAGGGCUUCACACGUAAUACAAUGGUCGGUACAGAGGGCAGCCAACCCGCGAGGGGGAGCUAAUCCCAGAAAGCCGAUCGUAGUCCGGAUUGUAGUCUGCAACUCGACUGCAUGAAGCCGGAAUCGCUAGUAAUCGCGGAUCAGCAUGUCGCGGUGAAUACGUUCCCGGGUCUUGUACACACCGCCCGUCACACCAUGGGAGUGGGUUCCACCAGAAGUAGGUAGCCUAACCGCAAGGGGGGCGCUUACCACGGUGAGAUUCAUGACUGGGGUGAAGUCGUAACAAGGUAAGUAUU
rnacentral:rRNA from 1 species